UGUCUAUUCCCUCUGUCCGAAAAUACUUAUCAUCAAAAUGGAUAAAAAUAGAUGUAUUUAGAACUAAAAUACAUCUAGAUACAUUUUCUUUUAUUUAUUUUAAUGACAAGUAUUUCCGGAUGAAGGGAGUACUAU
rnacentral:pre_miRNA from 1 species